UUGGAGGGCAAGUCUGGUGCCAGCAGCCGCGGUAAUUCCAGCUCCAAUAGCGUAUAUUAAAGUUGUUGCAGUUAAAAAGCUCGUAGUUGAAUUUCGGGGUUAGUAGGUUGGUCAUGCCUCUGGUAUGUACUGGUCUCACUGAUUCCUCCUUCCUGAUGAGCCGUAAUGCCAUUAAUUUGGUGUUGCGGGGAAUUUGGGCUGUUACUUUGAAAAAAUUAGAGUGUUUAAAGCAAGCUAACGCUUGAAUACAUUAGCAUGGAAUAAUGAAAUAGGACGUUCGAUCCUAUUUUGUUGGUUUCUAGGAUUGACGUAAUGAUUAAUAGGGAUAGUUGGGGGCAUUAGUAUUCAAUUGUCAGAGGUGAAAUUCUUGGAUUUAUUGAAGACUAACUACUGCGAAAGCAUUUGCCAAGGAUGUUUUCAUUAAUCAAGAACGAAAGUUAGGGGAUCGAAGACGAUCAGAUACCGUCGUAGUCUUAACCAUAAACUAUGCCGACUAGGGAUCGGAUGAUGUUAAUUUUUUAAUGACUCAUUCGGCGCCUUACGGGAAA
rnacentral:rRNA from 1 species